rnacentral:rRNA from 1 species
AGAGUUUGAUCCUGGCUCAGGAUGAACGCUGGCGGCAUGCCUAAUACAUGCAAGUCGAACGAGAGGAAGGAAAGCUUGCUUUUCUGAAUCUAGUGGCGAACGGGUGAGUAACACGUAGGUAACCUGCCCAUGUGCCCGGGAUAACUUCUGGAAACGGAUGCUAAAACCGGAUAGGUAGCAGACAAGCAUUUGACUGCUAUUAAAGUGGCUAAGGCCAUGAACAUGGAUGGACCUGCGGUGCAUUAGCUAGUUGGUGAGGUAACGGCCCACCAAGGCGACGAUGCAUAGCCGGCCUGAGAGGGCGGACGGCCACAUUGGGACUGAGACACGGCCCAAACUCCUACGGGAGGCAGCAGUAGGGAAUUUUCGUCAAUGGGGGGAACCCUGAACGAGCAAUGCCGCGUGAGUGAAGAAGGUCUUCGGAUCGUAAAGCUCUGUUGUAAGAGAAAAACGACAUUCAUAGGGAAUGAUGAGUGAGUGAUGGUAUCUUACCAGAAAGUCACGGCUAACUACGUGCCAGCAGCCGCGGUAAUACGUAGGUGGCGAGCGUUAUCCGGAAUGAUUGGGCGUAAAGGGUGCGUAGGUGGCAGAACAAGUCUGGAGUAAAAGGUAUGGGCUCAACCCGUACUGGCUCUGGAAACUGUUCAGCUAGAGAACAGAAGAGGACGGCGGAACUCCAUGUGUAGCGGUAAAAUGCGUAGAUAUAUGGAAGAACACCGGUGGCGAAGGCGGCCGUCUGGUCUGUUGCUGACACUGAAGCACGAAAGCGUGGGGAGCAAAUAGGAUUAGAUACCCUAGUAGUCCACGCCGUAAACGAUGAGAACUAGGUGUUGGGGGAAUAACUCAGUGCCGCAGUUAACGCAAUAAGUUCUCCGCCUGGGGAGUAUGCACGCAAGUGUGAAACUCAAAGGAAUUGACGGGGGCCCGCACAAGCGGUGGAGUAUGUGGUUUAAUU